rnacentral:rRNA from 1 species
UACAGAGGUCUCAAGCGUUGUUCGGAUUCAUUGGGCGUAAAGGGUGCGUAGGUGGCGUCGUAAGUGGGGUGUGAAAUCCCGGGGCCUAACCCCGGGACUGCAUUCCAUACUGCGGUGCUUGAGGACUGGAGAGGAGACUGGAAUUUACGGUGUAGCAGUGAAAUGCGUAGAGAUCGUAAGGAAGACCAGUGGCGAAGGCGGGUCUCUGGACAGUUCCUGACACUGAGGCACGAAGGCCAGGGGAGCAAACGGG